UACGGGAGGCAGCAGUGGGGAAUAUUGCACAAUGGGGGAAACCCUGAUGCAGCCAUGCCGCGUGUAUGAAGAAGGCCUUCGGGUUGUAAAGUACUUUCGGUAAUGAGGAAGGUGAUGUAUCUAAUAGGUGCAUCAAUUGACGUUAAUUACAGAAGAAGCACCGGCUAACUCCGUGCCAGCAGCCGCGGUAAUACGGAGGGUGCGAGCGUUAAUCGGAAUGACUGGGCGUAAAGGGCAUGUAGGCGGAUAAUUAAGUUAGGUGUGAAAGCCCUGGGCUCAACCUAGGAAUUGCACUUAAAACUGGUUAACUAGAGUAUUGUAGAGGAAGGUAGAAUUCCACGUGUAGCGGUGAAAUGCGUAGAGAUGUGGAGGAAUACCGGUGGCGAAGGCGGCCUUCUGGACAGAUACUGACGCUGAGAUGCGAAAGCGUGGGGAGCAAACAGGAUUAGAUACCCUGGUAGUCCACGCUGUAAACGAUGUCGAUUUGGAGUUUGUUGCCCUGAGUGAUGGGCUCCGAAGCUAACGCGAUAAAUCGACCGCCUGGGGAGUACGGCCGCAAGGUUAAAACUCAAAUGAAUUGACGGGGGCCCGCACAAGCGGUGGAGCAUGUGGUUUAAUUCGAUGCAACGCGAAGAACCUUACCUGGUCUUGACAUCCACAGAAUCUUGCAGAGAUGCGAGAGUGCCUUCGGGAACUGUGAGACAGGUGCUGCAUGGCUGUCGUCAGCUCGUGUUGUGAAAUGUUGGGUUAAGUCCCGCAACGAGCGCAACCCUUAUCCUUUGUUGCCAGCGGUUCGGCCGGGAACUCAAAGGAGACUGCCGUUGAUAAAGCGGAGGAAGGUGGGGACGACGUCAAGUCAUCAUGGCCCUUACGACCAGGGCUACACACGUGCUACAAUGGCGUAUACAAAGGGAGGCGACCUCGCGAGAGCAAGCGGACCUCACAAAGUACGUCUAAGUCCGGAUUGGAGUCUGCAACUCGACUCCAUGAAGUCGGAAUCGCUAGUAAUCGUGAAUCAGAAUGUCACGGUGAAUACGUUCCCGGGCCUUGUACACAACCGCCCGUCAACACCACUGGGACGUGGGUUGCA
rnacentral:rRNA from 1 species